GGAAAACCUCUUUAAGAAUUAAGUUUCGUUUGGGCAUGAUAAAAAUCUAACAGUUUUGGUGUCAGAAGUGGGAUACUUUCCGGCAAUAUCCGAAGGGAGAUCACGCAUCAAGGUUAAAAACUCUGAAACAAAAAUACCAUGAUGCAGAGAGAGAGGUGGACAGGGCAGAUGUACACACAGAAGAGGAGAGUGUACAAGAAGUGCAAGACCUUCAACAAGUGAACAAUGACAUAAGAAUAAAGCUUAAUGCAGAGCGAGAAGAAGUGCACAUCCGAAACUGGAUAAUAAACGAUCUAAUUGAGCAACUACAUCGGCUCCAAGUUGCUCAGCAAGGGCCAGCAGGCGGCAGCCAGAUUCCCCAAGACCACCAUGAGGAACACCAAGACCCUAAUGAGGGCCACUAAUCCCACAGCCAGACUUUUUAAACCCUGACACAAUACCCCAAGCAAGAGCCAACAAGCAUGCAUCAAAAAUUACUAACCUCCCUGCUAAAUUUACCAGGUCCUCAGCCAGUGCCACAAAGCCUGCAUCUACAUCCUCCAAAUCAUGCAGCCAGAGCCACCAAGCCACCAUCAAGAGCCAAUAAACCCACAUCCAGAGCUACCAAGCACUCAACCAGAGCCACCUAACUCAGCAGUAAGAGCCACAAAGCAGCAGCCAGAUCCACCAAGUCCACAGUAAAGCUCAGCAAGCCCCCUUUGAGGUUUAAAAAAAAACACAGCCAGAUCCAUCAAACCCUAAAGCCAGAGCCACCAAGUGUUCAACAAGUACUAAACCUCCGGGUAGGUCCACCAAGUCCUCAACCAGUUCAUCCAGUUUUGCCCGACUCAGCCCUAAAGUAUGCAGCUCCUGGUCUAACAAUAAGUCUACUAGGAUGCGGAAAUGUGCCCACACCACAUCCUCAUGUGACUUGGAACCAGGCCCUGUGAAAGCAAGUUUUAUUGGUUUUAAAAUGAAACACUCUAAAUAAUGGGCUUAUUGCAGCAGGAAAAGAACUACACAUCAGAGACAAGACGAAAAACAGCCUGAGUGAGCAGUUACAGAUCCUGUAAGUUGUGCAUCAAGGGCCACAAAGCCAACCAGAGCCACCAAACCCUCAGCUAGACCCAUCAAGCCUGCAUCACUUACCACAAAUCCCUCAGGCAGAAGCUCCAGAACCACAAGAACCAAAGGCUUGCUCCAGAACCUCCAAGUCACAGCCAGAUCCACCAAUCCCUUGUUGAGGCCAAAUAAGCCCCCAGCCAGAACCACCAUGCUCCCAGUCAGAGCCACCUAUUUCCCACUAAGAGCAACCCAACCCACAGCCAGAGCGUCCUAGCCCCAACUGAGGGACACCAAAACCCCAGCCAGAGCCACAAAGUUUGCAUUGAAAACCCUAUUGAGACACUUAAAAUAAAAUAGACAUUUAAAGAAUAGAUUUUUCUCCCUGAACUACAAAGAAAGAUUUGCAGCUUCCAGGCCCAGGAACUCUUAAAGACCUGAUCUGUGGAGACCUGCACAUCCUACAACAACUGACAUUACAGAUAAGCUGCUACACCUCCCUACAGAUCAGUGCAACAGCAGCAGCAGCUUUGUGGUGACAGAGCAGCACAUUUUAAAGACGUGAAUCAAACACAGUAAUUAGAUACAGGUAUUCCAUGACUUACAAUGAAAAUGCAUUCUGAUGACCUCAUUGUAACUUGUCAAGACAGGGCUAACCUACCCAGGAGUCUUAAAGAAUGGAGAUCAAUAUGGGGUUAAUAAUUUAACAAAUUACAGCACAUAAUCUAACAAAACAGAGCAAUUUACAACACCAUAAUUAUUUAACUUCAUCGUCCUCGUAGAGAUGAGCAUUUCAAUACCUCACAUGCCUGAUGUUGCUCUCGUUUUCCAAGGGUGUGCCAUCACAUCACGCAACAUCUGACUCCCCUCGCCGUGAUGAGUGUUUAGAUGUGGCACACGCCCUUGUCGUCAAGUUUUGCCGUUUCGCAUUUUCGUGCCCAUGAGACGUCAUGCGUCAGUGUGACCUGCUACCCACCCCGGAAGAGUGGACAUGUCGUACUGACAUGCCAGUGGAAUGCCAGCCAAACUGCAGUGUGUCUAAUUUUCCCAUUUAUUUCUUUGGGGGCCGGAAUUUCCCAGAAUUCCAAAUGGGUCUCAGGUUCGAGGGGGCAUAUAGUCACGACCCUGCUGCAUGUGCAUUUCAAGACCGAGCUGUGACACAUGAGUUUUCUGCCCGAUUCAUAUUCUAUGAGGAGAAAAUUUAACCUUUUGGUCAAGUGAUCAUUAAUUGUUGGGGCAAAUCUUUAGAAAAGUAAUAGCACACUUCCCCCAACGGGCCACAUGAUUUAAGGUCUCAUUUAUGGUGCUGACACGAAAGCUGCAGGACUGAUGAUGCAAAGAAAUUUUGUCUGAAA